UCCUAGAUAUAACAUAAAAUGCAUUUUCAGGCGCUAAACUGCACAACAUUCCAAUACCACAGUGUGCUGAUAGACCUUUUGGAAGCGAUGCAUAUUUUGAAUGUAUGGCCAGACACUUUACCUUCACGAUAUACCAUCAAAGUGGGACUUGCAAAAUGGGCCCGAAAACUGACAAACGUGCCGUUGUAAAUCCACGACUAAAAGUAUAUGGAAUACAGGGACUUAGAGUAAUGGACGCAUCUGUGAUACCAGAAAUACCAGCCGCACACACUAAUGCUCCCACAUUCCUAAUAGCAGAAAAGGGAUCCGACAUGAUCAAACAAGAUUGGGGCUUCAAAACUCAGUAGGACAACUUCAAAAAUACGCUGUGAUAUAUUUAUUAAAAUUAAUUAUAAUUUCAAUGCAAGAUAUGUUCAAUAAAUUAACACCCUCUAUAGUAUUGUGUUGUUUAAAAUUGGACAAGGAAUGUUAAUAUUAAACUGUCAAAGUCAUAUGAAAUAAUUCCAUAUUCUCAAUUAGUAGAUAUAGUAACAAACCAGUAGUCCAUAUACAGUAACCUUUAAAAAGUUUGAUACAAACCACAGUCUAUUCAUACCCAUAUUGUUGCAAACUUUUUAGCGGUCGCUAUAUAUUUGUAAAUAUGUAGUACGUAUCUAGUAUAUAAUAGUACCCAAGUACCCAAAUAAAAUUGACAAUUUUUUAACGUU